rnacentral:tRNA from 1 species
GCAGUGGUGGUUCAGUGGUAGAAUUCUCACCUUCCAUGCAGGAGACCCAGGUUCGACUCCUGGCCAAUGGG